AUUCCAGAUCAUCACCCCUCUAAGUUCAGGCCCCAGACUACUCUGAUUCAAAUAAAUCAGGUGGCAAGUCGGGAAUGACAGCAACUCGCAUCAGGGCCUGGCGGUGUCUAUGAAAUGCUCCAGGUGACCUUCUCCAGAAGGCACUUUGGUUUCCGCCGGGGAGCAGCGUGGCCUCCUGAGCCGGUUCCCCGCCGCGUGCCGGGGAAUGCACCACCCGGGAGGAGAACCCCGCGGCUCCGGCACGAGGGUGUGCCCCGACACUGUCUUCCACUCAAGAGCUCUGCGACUCUCCUGCCACCUGCCAACCCCGACCACCUCCUCCGGGCUGCAACUCCACCCCGCACCCGGGCUGCUGCUCCGGCUCCUCGGGUCUGUGCCCGCCGCCCGAGUGACCUCCCGCCGGGGCCCGGGCGGCUCGCCCUGGCCGGAGGGGCCGGAAAAGGCCGAGAGGCCUGACCUCCCGUGGGGCUUCCCUUCCUUCCUCCUGGGCAGCGCAGCCUGGAGCCAGCAGCUCUGCACCGGCCGGGCCUGCUGGGGCGAAAAGCCCCUUACCUAUCUUCACGACCGCAUCCGCCAGACACCGGUCCCACUUCCUGCCGAGCUCCGACUCAGACAUGUUCCCCACCCGCGCCUCCAGCUUUCCUCUCGGCCGGCCCCCGCGCUCCGACCCCUGAAAGUCUCGCGAGAGCUGGAAACAAGUCCCAGGUCAGGAAGGCAGGCGCAGACGCUCCAGAUAUCGCGAGAUGAUCCGCUGCUUCCAUCCCUUCCGGUUUUUUCAGUUGGUCGUCAAGGUGACGAGUUGUCUGGAGGCUCGAGGUGACCCUGACCUUGGGGCUGCGCCUAUGGGUUUGCGAGGCUGACAGUUUCCUAGGCGUCACCCCAAGCCGUGACCAGGCCUUUCCUCCUCACCAAAGUGCGACAUUGGCCCUGGAAAUCCCCCGGGCAAGAGAGGGUACAGACUUGAUUUAUUCAUUCAUUAACGUACUCACCUUCACUUUCCCUACUCACUCUCUCAUUCGUUCACUGGUUUCUUGCAUUGGAAUUCCCGCCUGAACCACUAACACCGAAACUGCUCUGGGAAAGAUUACCUACCGCCAAAUCAAAUGGACUCUUUUCUGACCUCUGUACCGCAUUCCACACAAUUUUCCCUCCCUCUGAUCCUCCCUGGCUCCUCUAUUCGUUUCACUCCCGGUAACGCCACUCUUUCCUCUUCUCCCCAUCUGCUGUUGUCUGUUGGUUUCCUCCAGGGCUGCCUUUUCUCUGCCAGCUGUUUAAGGACUGUUGGUUCGCAAGCUUCCAUCAAUUCUCUUUUCACUGUACAGACUCUCCCUGAGUAAUUGCAAACACUGCCAAAUUAUAUCUCCAGGUAAAACGUCUACCUCAGGCCUCCUAUCCAUGUAUAUAUUUACACACCCACCCACACACACACACACAUACACAUACAUACACAGGGUGCCCUCUGUAUCUGUGGGUUUUGCAUCCAUGGAUUUAACCAACCAUGGACCAGAAACAUUUUUGAAUCAAAUAAAAAAUAAUGCAAAAUUUAAAAUACAGUACAACUAUUUACCUAGGAUUUACAUUGUAUUAGGUAUUAUAAGUAACCUAGAGAUGAUUUAAAGUAUAUGGGAGCCAGCGCAGUGGCAUGCGACCGUAGUCCCAGCUACUUGGGAGGCUGAGAUGGGAGGAUUGCUUGAGACUAGGAGUUCGACUUCAUCUCUUUAAAAAAAAAUAAGUAAUUUUAAAAAAGGAUAUGUAAGCAUGUGUGUAGGUUGUAUGCAAAUACCACGCCAUUUUAUAUAUGGGACUUGAGCAUCCUGCAUUUUGGUAACUGCGAGAUCCUGAAACCAAAUGCCCACAGCUAUCAAGAGAGAUUGUAUAUCCAGCCUACUGGCUAGUGUCAUUGAUUUUAGUCUUCCAUCCUACCAACAAAUAGAAAUCUGACCACGUUAUGCCUCUGAUUAGAAGCUGUCAAUGAAGGCCGAGAGCAGUGGCUCACACCUGUAAUCCCAACACUCUGGGAGGCUGAGGCGGGAGGAUUGUUUGAGGCCAGUAGUUCAAGACCAGCCUAGGCAGCAUAGUGAGACUCCUGUCUCUACAAAAAAUUUAAAAAAUUAGCCAGGCUAAUGUGAUGUGUGCCUUUAGUCCCAGCUACUUAGGAGGCUGAGGUAGGAGGAUCACUUGAGCCUGGGAAGUGGAGGCUACACUGAGCCAUGUUCAUGCCACUGCACUCCAGCCUGGGCAUCAGAGUGAUACCCUAUCACAAAAGAAAAAAAAAAAAAGCUGUCAAUGACUCCCAUUCAUACACUGGAUCUAUCCAAGCUUCAACACUGCACUGAUUCUAGGAAGCCUAGUCAGAUAGAGCUUAGAGCUGCCUUCCCCUUCUCAUUGUCCCACUACCCUGCCUACCCGCAUUGAUUUCUCUAUCUAGUACUGAAACAUCUGGUUGUAGAUAUUAUCUGCUAGUAGAACUAGAAGUUGCCCCUUCGUCUUCAUACUUCCAGUCAGAGCACAAUGCCUUGGAUAGUAGGGUCUUCUAUGAAAUAUUUGUUGAACUGAAUUGAAUUUAUUCACCUAUUUAUUUGUUUAUUUAUUUAUUGAGAGAGAGUCGCGCUCUGUUGCCCAGGCUGGAGUGCAGUGGCACGAUCUCGGCUCACUGCAACCUCUGCCUACUGGGUUUGAGCAAUUCUUCUGCCUCAGCCUCCAAAAUAGCUGGGAUUACAGGCGCCCACCACCACGCCUGGCUAACUUUUUGUAUUUUUUUAGUAGAGAUGGGGUUUCGCCAUAUUGGCCAGGCUGGUCUUGACUCCUGGCCUCAAGUGAUCCACCCACCUUGGCCUCCCAAAGUGCUGGGAUUACAGGCAUCGUUCAACUAUUUAUUUGCAACUAUGACAGCAAAACUCUGUUGUAUCAGAUCUUGCUACGACAGCCUCUUCCUUCAAGAUAACUUCUAUGACCACCCUUCCCUUCUCC
rnacentral:lncRNA from 1 species